CCUACGGGAGGCAGCAGUAGGGAAUCUUCCACAAUGGGCGAAAGCCUGAUGGAGCAACGCCGCGUGGGUGAAGAAGGUCUUCGGAUCGUAAAACCCUGUUGGUAGAGAAGAAAGUGCGUGAGAGUAACUGUUCACGUAUCGACGGUAUCGAACCAGAAAGCCACGGCUAACGACGUGCCAGCAGCCGCGGUAAUACGUAGGUGGCAAGCGUUAUCCGGAUUUAUUGGGCGUAAAGGGAACGGAGGCGGUCUUUUAAGUCUGAUGUGAAAGCCUUCGGCUUAACCGGAGUAGUGCCUUGGAUACUGGGAGACUUGAGUGCAGCAGCGGCGAGUGGAACUCCAUGUGUAGCGG
rnacentral:rRNA from 1 species